rnacentral:lncRNA from 1 species
CGACCGUUUCCCUGGGUCCGGCACGCUCCCCGGAGAUCGAUGGUUGGCCUCUCCAAUGACAAGGCGAGGACCCGGCAGAGCAGCAAAUCAGGCCGCAGCGGAGGCGGAGCCAGCGGAGGGAGGUGGGGACAAGGAAGCAGGCGCAGGGAGGUGGGGGGGAGAACAAGGGAGGACUCUGGCUCCUGCGGAAGCGAAGAGGGAACAGAACAGUGGAGGAUGUGGGACCCCAAUGCAGGACAGCCAGGGAUGUACCCUCCUGGGGGUCCUAUGCCCCCUUCAGCAUCUGGGUGCCCUGGGGUUACCAACCCCAUCAACCCACCAUCAAUCAACCCUGCAUACCCUCCAGGUACCUAUCCUCCUCCACCUGAGAGUUUCCCAGGGAAUCCAGCUUAUCCUCCUGGUCAUGCUAUUGGCCCUGGGCAGCAGCCAGGAUACCCAGGCGGCCCGCCCCCAGGCCCCUGCCCACCUCCAGGUCACUACCCACCUCCUGGCCCUGGUGUGCCUUUUGUGAAUCCCUUGGCCCCCGGGGUCAUGGGGCCAGGUAUGGUGAUGGAUAAGAAGCUGAGGAAGAAGAUGAAGAAGGCUCAUAAGAAAAAGCAUAAACAUCACAAACAUGGCAAGCAUUCUUCCUCCUCCUCCUCUUCCAGCAGUGACUCUGACUGAAUCCUGGGCCCUCCUCCCCCCAAGUCACACCACCCCAGCUCUCCCAUCAAGCCUUGGACGCCAUAUUGUGCUGGGGGAAGAUAGCCUUGCAGCCCCAACCUCAUUCACCCCUUUGCCCAAAUUGGUUGGUGAAG